rnacentral:lncRNA from 1 species
AUGCGCCCUCCAGCGGCGGUUGCUCCCCGCCGCCCAUGUGCCCACUGUGGGCGAGGGCACGGGCAGCCCGGACUCACCGUGCGGCUCGGGCCGGGGCCCCGCGGGCGGCGGCGGCUCCUGGUGCUGCAGCGGGGCGGCGGUGGCGGCCGCCGAGGCGGCGGCGGCGGCGGCGGCGGAGGCGGAGGCCGAGGUGAUGAGCAGCCGCUGGAAGCGGUUGGGCGGGCGGCAGGGCACCUCCAGGCCAGCCGCCAGCUUGGCCUUGUUGGCGCUGGUCAGGCGCUUGAGGUGCACGAGCAGCUGUGGCUGGUCGCGGCGGAAGUGCGGGCUGUGGAAGUGAUGGAGCGGCCCAUCCCCUGCCGGUCUGCCGCCCCCCGGCCCCGGCCCCGGCCCCGGCCCCGGCCCCGCCGCGCCCGGCCCGCCCAGCACCACCUUGCGGAAGCCGUAGAGGUUGAGCUGGCGGAUGAAGCUGGUGAAGUUGGUGGUUUUGAAGAGCUCGGGCUCGGCCCCGGCGCCCGCAGUCCCGCCACCGCCCCCCGGCCCGGGCGGGCUGAGCAGCUCGGCCUCGAAGAGCGGCUGGUCGAUGAGCAGCCCCUCGCCGCGGCCGUCCCAGCGGAUGGAGCGGUAGCGCGGGCUGUUCACCAGGCGCCACAGCUUGGCGGGGAAGUUGUUGGGGUUGAUGGGGGUGGAGAGCAGCGCCUCCUCCAUCGCCCCACCGGGCCGGGGCCUCGCCCCCCGAGCCUAGCUCUCCCACCCCGUUCUCGAUCCCUCCCCUGCCUUCGCCUCGCCCUGCCCGCUCCUGCCGGCGCCCGUCCGCCGCGUACCAGGGACCGUUGGCGCACGAGGUCCCACGGCGCCUCCCAGCGCGGCCAAUGGGGCCUCGAGUUCCCGCCACGCGGCGUGGGCACCUCCCUCUCGGCGGCCGCGUGCCUCGGCCCAGCCCGCCGGACGCCUGCGGGACCCGGGCAGGAGCCCCUUCCCCAGGCCUUCCCAGACUUCAGGCCGGGAAGGCUGUCCGCCGGGGAGUUCUAA